rnacentral:rRNA from 1 species
UGUUUGGGAAUGCAGCUCUAAAUGGGUGGUAAGUUUCAUCUAAAGCUAAAUAUUGACGAGAGACCGAUAGCGAACAAGUACCGUGAGGGAAAGAUGAAAAGAACUUUGAAAAGAGAGUUAAAAAGUACUUGAAAUUGCUAAGAGGGAAGCGCUGAAAACCAGUGUCAUUGUUAUCAUUUUGCCUAUAUAUGUUUGAUUACAUAUACUGUAUGUUGGUAACUCAUAUAGUGUAUGACGAUUGGCUCAUAUAUGGGUCCUGUGAUAAUAAUAUGUCAGAAUCAGUUUGUAUUCGUAGGAGAAGGAUAAGAGAAAGGUAGGUUUCUAGUAAUAGCAAACUGUUAUAGUCUUUUAUCUCUACUAUGUUAUAGACUGAGGAUGUAAUGAUGCGCCUUUUAUUAGGCUUUUAUCUCUGUUUCUAUUAUAUGAGUCGGCUUGGAUGUCAAUGACAUGCUGUUGAUAGAGUGUAAUACUAAGUAGAAGUGAUAAAUAUGCAUGAUCACGAUUCUGACUAAAUGGUUUUCAUCGACCCGUCUUGAAACACGGACC